rnacentral:rRNA from 1 species
UACGGAGGGGGCAAGCGUUGUUCGGAGUUACUGGGCGUAAAGCGCGCGUAGGCGGCCCGUUAAGACAGGUGUGAAAUCCCUGGGCUCAACCUAGGAAUUGCGCUUGUGACUGGCGGGCUCGAGUACGGUAGAGGGGGGUGGAAUUCCUGGUGUAGCAGUGAAAUGCGUAGAGAUCAGGAGGAACACCGAUGGCGAAGGCAGCCCCCUGGGCCUGUACUGACGCUCAUGCACGAAAGCGUGGGGAGCAAACAGG